GACGAACGCUGGCGGCGUGCUUAACACAUGCAAGUGGAGCGACGAACCAGGGCUUGCCCUGGGGCAAAGCCGCGAACGGGUGAGUAACACGUGGGUAACCUGCCCUGAUGAUCGGGACAACCCGAGGAAACUCGGGCUAAUACCGAAUGUGCUCUCGAGCCUCAAGGCUCGUUAGGAAAGGAAGCUUCGGCCUCCGCAUCAGGAUGGGCCCGCGGCCCAUUAGCUUGUUGGUGGGGUAACGGCCUACCAAGGCUCCGAUGGGUAGCUGGUCUGAGAG
rnacentral:rRNA from 1 species